rnacentral:lncRNA from 1 species
GUCCGGAGGCCGGGCAAACGAAUUCUGCCGAAUAUCACGGGCUACUUGUUGUAAACCGACUCAGAUUGCUUUCCAUGUAGCAACCGACUAGGAUUAGAUCCUAUCCGAUUGUAAUCCUAGGCCAUCAGCCUAUAUAAGGCAGCCAGGAGCGCCCCCCGAGGGUAACGCACCUCAACUCAUCCCACCUCACGUUAACUCUUCGCAUCCCAUACCAGCAAUACAAUCCACCAGAACACACGACGUAGGGCAUUACUCUCUGGAGGUCCGAACCUGUCUAAACCUUGCGCCCCUGUGUUACCAUUCGAGCUCUUAGUCUCACAAUCUCC